rnacentral:lncRNA from 1 species
GGUUUUUGUUUUCUGUCUUGGUACACGUAGGCAUUGUUAUCACAAUAUUGCUUUUUUCUUGUUCUGGAGCGUAUAUAUUUUUAUGAUUCGUUGGGACGCUGAUUUUUCAAGGAUCUUGUUAGUCUUAUUAUAUGAAGAGGAUUUUCAUGUCAUAGAGAAGCCUGACUCAGACAAUAUCUUGAGUCAAACAUCAUGACAUUAUUUUGUAUUUUGGAACUUCUUUCACAGAAAAAAUACGCAUAGGAGCAUGGAGCUUAUAGAUUCUAUUUACAGUACUUAUUAGUUUGUGCUUCAGCUUACAGUUGAGUGAUACAGAAACAAGUUCUAUUGAGAUGGUACAACUUGGUAGUUGGUGGAAAAGGAUGCAGUGAUAACUAUAUGUUCUAUGCAAAUAACACCUGGGCUGAGCUGGUUGGAGCUUGCUGUUGUCUCCAUCCAGCUCCAUUUUGGUAUUCUAAUUGACUAUAUGUAAUAAGUUUUUUACAUUAUUCAAUAAUACUGACUAAUCUAAGAAACAUCUGGAUUAUUUGAAUUGCAAUAUUUGGUAGUAUGAACAUGAGGGACAUGGUUAUUUGAAUCGGAAUAUUCUGUAAGAUAACUAUGUAAUGCUGGGCUAUUUGAAUUGGAAUAUUUUUAUGUAUAUACAAUUGUUAGCAUCAGGUGGGAACCCGCGAUUAUAAAAAUUAGAAGCUCUUGUAUUGUAUUUUGAAAAAAGUAUAUUAUUGGGACUAGUGGAAGUUGUGUUAUUAACUAAAAAAUUUCAUGUGCUAGUUCUGGUCAUGGCCAGUGCUGAUCAACUUUAUCACCUUGCACAUGGUUUAUGUAACAUUUGAAAUUUAUCUAGUUACUGACUUGUUGCAUAGAAUGUCUGAUAUAUAAUUUAUAGCAUUUCCAGCUUGACAUGAUGGUUUGAAAUUUUGUCUGAAGUUAGGUGUAUGUUUUCCUUUUCAACCUGACUUCAUAUUUAAAAUUUCUUUCAUUUAUGUCAUGUCGAACCAAAAAAAGAAAAAAAACAGAAACCAGCAUCCUGAAUAAGCCAAUAUUUCCCUCUUGUUUUGAUGGAGCCCAAUACCUGUCAUGUUUGGUGGAAGCUUUGUCUUUUCUAUAUAUAUUUUUUCAAAAAUAUGGACAGAGAAUUAGUUUUGGAUGGAAGAAGUCCAACGAUAACUUUUGUUAAAGUGUGAAUUGUUUUCGAGUUUUAUUUGUCAUGGUUGUCAUGUGGGGCCUGGGAGGAGCUAAUUGAUAGCAAAUGCAAUGAUGAUUUGUUGGAAGGGAGACAUAAGGGGAAGAGGCAUGGACAC